rnacentral:rRNA from 1 species
CCUACGGGUGGCAGCAGUGGGGAAUAUUGGACAAUGGGCGAAAGCCUGAUCCAGCCAUGCCGCGUGUGUGAAGAAGGCCUUCGGGUUGUAAAGCACUUUCAGUGGGGAAGAAAGCCUUGGGGCUAAUACCCUCGAGGAAGGACAUCACCCACAGAAGAAGCACCGGCUAACUCCGUGCCAGCAGCCGCGGUAAUACGGAGGGUGCGAGCGUUAAUCGGAAUUACUGGGCGUAAAGCGCGCGUAGGCGGUCUGAUAAGCCGGUUGUGAAAGCCCCGGGCUCAACCUGGGAACGGCAUCCGGAACUGUCAGGCUAGAGUGCAGGAGAGGAAGGUAGAAUUCCCGGUGUAGCGGUGAAAUGCGUAGAGAUCGGGAGGAAUACCAGUGGCGAAGGCGGCCUUCUGGACUGACACUGACGCUGAGGUGCGAAAGCGUGGGUAGCAAACAGGAUUAGAUACCCUGGUGUC